rnacentral:rRNA from 1 species
GGCGGACGGGUGCGGUAACACGUGGAUAUCUGCCCUUCGGCGGGGGAUAACGGUCCGAAAGGAUCGCUAAUACCGCAUACGUCAGUUGGUCCUAGGGUGGCCGACUGGUGAAAGGGGGCGCCCGUCAAGGGGCUCUCACCGGAGGAUGAGUCCGUGUCCCAUCAGCUCAGUUGGCGGUGUAAUAGACCACCACAGGCGAAGACGGGUAGCUGGUCUGAGAGGAUGAUCAGGCACACUGUGACUGUGACAUGGUCCAACUCAUACGGGAGGCAGGCAUGGGGAAUAUUGGGCAACUGGGGGGCAAGACUGCACCCAGGAUGCCGCCGUGUGUAAUGAAGGCCCUCGGGUCGAUAUAGCUCUGUGGGGAGUGACGAAAAUCCGCGAGCUAUUAUGUCGCGGGUUGAGGGUAGACCUCCUUAGGAAGCACCGGCUAACUCCGUGCCAGCCGCCG